rnacentral:rRNA from 1 species
UAGGGAAUCUUCGGCAAUGGACGAAAGUCUGACCGAGCAACGCCGCGUGAGUGAAGAAGGUUUUCGGAUCGUAAAAACUCUGUUGGUAGAGAAGAACGUUGGUGAGAGUGGAAAGCUCAUCAAGUGACGGUAACUACCCAGAAAGGGACGGCUAACUACGUGCCGG